GACGAACGCUGGCGGCGUGCUUAACACAUGCAAGUCGAACGGUGAAGCGCCUUCCUUUUUGGUGGGUGUGGAUGAGUGGCGAACGGGUGAGUAACACGUGAGUAACCUGCCCCCUUCUUCUGGAUAACCGCAUGAAAGUGUGGCUAAUACGGGAUAUUCUGGGUCUGUCGCAUGAUGGGUCUGGGAAAGAUAUUGUUUCGGUGGGGGAUGGGCUCGCGGCCUAUCAGCUUGUUGGUGGGGUGAUGGCCUACCAAGGCGGUGACGGGUAGCCGGCCUGAGAGGGUGGACGGUCACACUGGGACUGAGACACGGCCCAGACUCCUACGGGAGGCAGCAGUGGGGAAUAUUGCACAAUGGGCGCAAGCCUGAUGCAGCGACGCCGCGUGAGGGAUGGAGGCCUUCGGGUUGUGAAGCUCUUUCGCCAGUGAAGCAGGCCUGCCCCGUUUGUGGGUGGGUUGACGGUAGCUGGAUAAGAAGCGCCGGCUAACUACGUG
rnacentral:rRNA from 1 species